AUCGAACGCUGGCGGCAGGCCUAACACAUGCCAGUCGAACGGUAACAGGAAACAGCUUGCUGUUUCGCUGACGAGUGGCGGACGGGUGAGUAAUGUCUGGGAAACUGCCUGAUGGAGGGGGAUAACUACUGGAAACGGUAGCUAAUACCGCAUAACGUCGCAAGACCAAAGAGGGGGACCUUCGGGCCUCUUGCCAUCGGAUGUGCCCAGAUGGGAUUAGCUAGUAGGUGGGGUAACGGCUCACCUAGGCGACGAUCCCUAGCUGGUCUGAGAGGAUGACCAGCCACACUGGAACUGAGACACGGUCCAGACUCCUACGGGAGGCAGCAGUGGGGAAUAUUGCACAAUGGGCGCAAGCCUGAUGCAGCCAUGCCGCGUGUAUGAAGAAGGCCUUCGGGUUGUAAAGUACUUUCAGCGGGGAGGAAGGGAGUAAAGUUAAUACCUUUACUCAUUGACGUUACCCGCAGAAGAAGCACCGGCUAACUCCGU
rnacentral:rRNA from 1 species